UUUCCGUAGGUGAACCUGCGGAAGGAUCAUUACCUAGUAACGCAGGCCUGGAAACAGGCCUGGUCACUACCCUUACUGUACGAGUACCUAUUGUUCUCCUUCGGCGGGGCGACCCGCCGCUGGAACCAAACAAACAACCUUUUUGCAUCCAGUAUUACCUGUUCUGAUAAACGUAAUUAAUUACAACUUUCAACAAUGGAUCUCUUGGCUCUGGCAUCGAUGAAGAACGCAGC
rnacentral:misc_RNA from 1 species